rnacentral:rRNA from 1 species
CCACCGUAGUCAAAUAUAGAAAAUGCAUCCGCCAGCAUAUUAUUGCAAAUAUAUCAUAGAAUUUUGGCUACGCCAGAGGUAUAAUUCCUUUCGUACUAAACACCCCAACAGUGCAGAUAGAGACCGACCUAGUUCACACCGGUCUAAACUCAAAUAACAUAAGACUUUAAAGGACGAACAGUCCUACUAACCAAGCUGCUACACCUGGUUGAUCGCCUUGAUUCAACAUCGAGGUCGCAAGCCCCCCUCUUAAUAAGACCUCUAAAAGAGGAUUGCGCUGUUAUCCCUAUGGUAGCUAUCUUCUUCUUAUCAGCCUUGCUGGAUCCACAUAUUAAUAAGAAGACGUUUUAUAUCUUCCAAUCCGUCCCGAUUAAAAUUAUUCCUACCUAAAAAUGGUAGAAAUUAUCAAGCUCAAUAGGGUCUUAUCGUCUAACAAAAAAAUUUAAGCCUUUUCACUUAAAAGAAAACUUCAAAUUUAUACUACUAAUAAAGACACCCCAUCAUUCAACCAUUCAUUCCAUCCCCCAAUUAAAAGACUAAUUAUUAUGCUACCUUAACACGGCUAAGCCGCAACCGUUUAAGACGUGCUCACCGGGCAGGUUAGACCUCCCUUGUUACCACUUCGGGAGGCCAUGUUUUUAAUAAACAGGUGCAGGGUACAAUUGCCGAGUUCAUUAGUAGUACCUAAUAAAUAAAUAAUCAAUAUCUCCUAUAUUUAUCAUGAUUUAUAAGACUUAUGCUAUUGUAAACUUAACACUUAUGAGUACGCUAGCGCCUACUAAAUAAUCUUAAAUUUUGUAAUGUACUAAUUCUAUACUAGUUAUAUGUUAAAAAAUUUUUAACCUAAAAGAGAUACCUAAUAUAAAUAUUAUUAAUAUAUAAUUUUUAUUUUAUUAAAGUUAGACAUUUUUAAUCCCACUUAUAUUAAUAUUGAUUAAAUUUAUUUUUGAGCUAACCCCCAAAAACAUGAGUAAUACAAAAAGUCUUUAAAGUGCUUUCUAAACCUUACUGUACCCCUGUGCAUUUACACAUUUAUCUCUUAACCAGCUACCAGCCUUUUCGAAUGGACUUUCACCACUACCCAAACUUUGCCCUUAAGCGCUACAACGAUUAUAAAGUUUACGUAGAUUGGGUAGAUCUAAAGCUUUCAGGGAACUAGAAAUCUAAUAUAACUCUAUAGACCAUGAUACAAAAAGUACAGGGUUAAAACCUUUCUAUAUUAUUAAUUUAUUUUUCUCAUAAAAAUAAAAAAGUUUAUUAUUUUUAACAAUACAAAUUUAUCUCAAUUCAUAAAUAAUAUUUAAAUUAUAAUUUUUCUAUAAACUAUUCAUACAAGCGCUUAAGAUAGGUGGAAGAGGGUCCAAAUGAAUUGG